CAUUGUGGCUGCGGCCCUGCAGGACCGAGGGUGGACAGGCGCUUGGCUCGCUUUCGCGAAGCGCCGCAGUCCCCGCGGGGGUCCAUCCCCAACCCCAGACUCCUGCCCCUGCACUCCUUAUCCUUUCCCAGCCCAGCGGGGCGCCCCUAGCCUCCCAGGGUCCACCAACACUGCACAACCAGACCCCACUCACGCACAGGGCUCAGCUCGCCCUCCACAGUCGCCGAUCCGGUUGACUCGUUCGUCAUUUCCGGCAAGAUUGGAAGCAGCUCUUGGAGGUCGUGAGGCUGCAGCCAGACUCCAGAGCUUUGCACUACAUGAAGAAGCUCUAUAAGACAUAUGCUACCAAGGAAGGGAUUCCUAAAUCCAAUAGAAGUCACCUCUACAACACUGUUCGGCUCUUCACCCCCUGUACCCGGCACAAGCAGGCUCCUGGAGACCAGGUAACAGGAAUCCUUCCAUCAGUGGAACUGCUAUUUAACCUGGAUCGCAUUACUACCGUUGAACGCUUACUCAAGUCAGUCUUGCUGUACAAUAUCAA
rnacentral:sRNA from 1 species